rnacentral:lncRNA from 1 species
GUUGUCUUUGUUGGACGCGGGGGAGCCGUCAGGCUUUCUUCACUGAAGCUAGGGAGAAAACAGGACUUUCAGCCCUCACGCGGCACAGCUUUUUAGUGUUGUCUCCGUGUUUAGGGAAAACCUUCAGAACAGGGAGUGCUCGCUUUCCCUGCGAUUUGGACCAUUAAAAAAUUCGAUGCCUAGGUCUCUGCGAGCCUCAGCCUUGCUAACUAGGGUUUUGCCACUUUUCCGGGCUCCCCUUGUUAAGUGUAGAUGAAAGAUUUAAGCCCUCCGUUGCAGCAGCUACUGAACAAAUUCGGCCAAGUUAUCAGAAACUGCACUUGCUGAGAUCCUGUGGAAUGAUCUCAUGAAUUCUGUUGGAAAACACUUAGAAAAGGGCAUAGGCAGCUUUGGACCAAAGAAAACGAUUUAGCUCUGCCAUCUCUAGCUUAUACCCUCUCAUCUCAACUGUAAUGGUGGCCUCCUAAUGUUGCUCCCCAAUUAUGCCUGUUCAGUUUUCUCAGCUGCAACCAAAGCUUAUUUCAAAAAAAUAAGAAUUUGCAAGACUCAGAAACUUGCACUGGUUCCCCAUUGCCUUUAUCAGUGCAUUCACACACUUUCCUCUUUGGGCCUCUUUUCCUCUUAGUAUUAGCUCCUUCUUAUUAACUCUGGUAGGCAGAAUACUAGCCCCUCAAAGAUGUCCACAGCCUGAACACCAGAAGCUGUGAAUAUGUUAGCUUGCAUAGCAAAUGGGAAUUAAGGUUGUUAAUUACCUGGUGUUGAAAUAGAUUAUCCUGGAAUCGCUUUAACCAGGGAGGCAGAGGUUGCAGUGAGCUGAGCAGCUCCACUGCACUCCAGCCUGGGCGACAGGGCGAGAUUCCAUCUUAAAAAAAAAACAUUAUCCUGGAUUGUUCCAGUGGGCUGAUUGUAAUCAUAGGGCCUCCAAAACUGCAAAAGAGAGUCAAGAGUGACAAGUAACUAUGAAGAAUGAUUAGAGAGAUACAACAUUGUUGGCUUUGAAUAUAGAGGAAGGGAGCCUCCAGCAUUGUGGGUGACCUCCAGAAGCUGGAACUGAACUAGAUCCUGGGACAGAAGAGCAGAAGGGGAGAGAUGGCUACAGAUGGGCCU